UUUGGCGCUGCAUCGGGUGGCGAUGUCCUUUGGUGCUGCAUCAGGUGGUAUAGAAAGUUUGGGCUUGUGUAGGAUGUGACCAUGGUCUGUUACUAUGUCGCUGCACUUAAGCAUGGCUACAACUUGGGUUCAAUGUGGAUGGCAGGACAAAGCUUGGGCUUUGUAUAGCAUAUGACCAUGGUCGGGUGGUAGACAUAAAGCUUGGGCUUGUAUAGGACGUGACCAUGGGCUGUCACUUGGGCGCUGUCCGGUGGUAGAGCAUCAAGCCUGGGCUUGUAUAGGAUGUAACCAUAGUCUGGUACUUUGUCACUGCCUUUCUGCGGGGCUGUGAUGCAGGUCAAUGUGGAUUAUAGGACACCAAAAAUAAAGGCAUUGCAAGUCUACUGACGAAUUGUAAGUUGCAGACAGUCUUUAUUUGGUCACACUUAGAAGGUAGUUAGUCAGUAGACUGAUCAGGUGGUAUAGACAUAUCAAGCUUGGGCUUGUAUAGGAUGUGACCAGAGUCUGUUACCUUGGCGCUGCAUCGGGUGGUAUAGACAUCAAGCUUGGGCUUGUAUAGGUUGUGACCAUGGUCUGUUACUUUGGCGCUGUCCAUAAGUGGGUUUACGACCUUGGUUCAAUUUGGAUUACAAGAUGUAGCAAAGAAAAGCAUUGCAUGUCUACCGACGAAUCGUUAGUUGCAGGCAAUGUUCAAAAUAUCGGUAUCGCGUUACGUAUCGCAUCCUUGGGAUACAGAUACAUAUCAGUUAUCGCACGGGAUAUAUCGUUUGUAUCAGAUAAUUUAUUAUACUUUUUGGAAAAUGUGGGGAAACAUUGGGAAAAUAGUUGAAUUUUUAAAUGAAACUUCAGGGAUUGUUAAAAAAGACCUUAAUACACACUUUUAAAUCAUAACAUCUCAAAAAAUAAGUGCACGUAAUAUGUUUCCUUUGUGUAGACUCCUAAGCUAUGUGUUGCCUGAUUGAACUAAUUUAACUAUAUUCAAAUUGAAUGCAUAACAUUUAGAGUGUAUGUGAUGAUGAUUUCAUCAAACACUCCUAAAUACUGCGAGAUUAGUCUCAAUUGACAAAUUGACAGCUAGUUGAAGGAAAAUUUCUAAAAAAAAAAAUCAAUAAUUUAAUCUUUUUUAAUAAAUUUUUAAUUAAAAAUGAUUUUUAUUUUCUAAAAAUUGACAAGGACUUAACAAAUCAGUAGAUCAACCAUCAUAGAUGCUUGAUUGCAUGUUUGGAGUGCAACAUUGCAAGCAAUUUGGGAGAAAUUGGGUAAAAUUUGAAUUUCCCCAAAUAGGACCACCUAUACUUAAAUUUCGAAAUUAGAGUGUUUGUGAUGAUCAUUUCAUCAAGUACUCCUAAGUACUUCAAAAUUAGUCUCAAUUAACAGCUGGUUGAAGGAAAUUUUCAAAAAAAAAAAAAAAAACAUUGAGAUCAUGAAGAAUCAAUGAAUAUCGAAAUCAAAACUUCAACUCCAUGAUUUUUCAUGCAAAACAUGAAGAACCAAUGGAUUUGUAACCAAUGGACAUUGAUUUAACAUAAUUUCAACAAAAAAAGGAUCGGAAAUUGAAAAUACUUAUCGGAUCAAACAUAUGGGAUAUAUCGGCACUAUCUGUGCGUUUCGUAUCGCAUAGGUGUGAUACAAGAUAUAUCGGCUGAUAUCGUCGAUAUUUAAAACAUUGGUUGCAGGAAGCAUUUGGCCUCAUCCUUGCAAGAGAUUGCAUCCUCCAUCUUUUCCACACCAACUUGGAAAUUAUUGUUGGAAGGAAAAACUCAAGUCUGUUUUGUAAGAGAUGCUUCUAGAUAUCAACAGUUGUGUUUGUCUGAGUAUUCUAGGUGGUCUUUGAAGUAACCCUCUGACCAGUGGUUGGUUGAAUACGUCAAUGGAUUGACUUCAUCUUGAACUGUCUGAAGGUUAGGGGCAUCAGGAGAAACAUAACUUGAUUUGGUAAGCUAUCAGUUCUAUGAUUUUCUGCCCUCAAAAUGAUAUUUGAAAGGAAUUAUAUAUCUCUAGGGAUAUGGCGGAUGUAAUGCAUGUGGAGGGAGAGUGGGGAGAGAUAAAAAGGAGAGAGACACUGAGUGAAAUCAGCUACACGGCAAUGGUGGCCGAUCGUUCCUGACUUUUUCAAUGCUGUGACUCACUUGAGUUUUUUAGAUCUGUCUUGUUUUUGGGCUGACGUCCUAUCAUGAGGUGGCGGGAUAGAUGUGCAAAGUGAAUUUCAUAUGGUCAUCAAGGUGGGCCCUACAUAGCCUUGUUGCACGCCCCCCUAGGAGUACCAUCGGGGAGGGCCACACAAAGAAGAGUGUGCUACUUGCAUGCUGUUGCUUUUUUGGGGUAAAGUUUAUGCUAAGCUGUUUAAAGGCUUAUUGCGGGUGAAAUUUGACUUGUAUGAUAGGUAGCAACCACAUUUUUUAGUUCCCAAAAUACCCUAACUUUAUUUAAAAUGCCUUCUCAUGUUCUUCCAAUAUUCAAAGUUCUCCACCCUAGUAAAACUAAUCGUUGUGGCAAAAAUGUCCAAAAGCUGCUCUUGUUGUACGUAGUAUAGAUUGUGGCAGAAUGGAAUUCUCCCUGUUCUUACGUCUUUGAGGUACUGAACCUACCCUCCUAACUAAUGGCAUGGUUAAAUCUAGCAAUAUCAAACAUGAAUUCAAGUGUAUUGGAUAAUAAUGGCUGUUGAAGUUUAAAAUCAUUGAAAUAAUAUGAAUGUAAGCCUAGAAAAAGUCUACUUUAGGCCCGCUGAGGGAAAUCUGCAUACAUGUGGUAUACACGAGCUUUCAAAAGGACUAUUGUAUGGAUUGGGAUGGAUGUCAUGAACCGAUUCGCUGAAUUCUGAUUUGUGUAGACUUGGGGAAAGCUUUUAGGAAUGUAGGAAAUAUCCAUGUGAUUUUGGUGAGGCUUUUUAAAUCUUGAAUCUUUGUGGAAUGGAAAUGGGUUCCAGACUUGAAAUCAAACAAGAUAGCAAUUUGAGGAUUGUAGGGAUGCAUAAAUGCUAAAGGACAUGAUUUUAAUGUCAGCCAAUAUUCUGGAUUAUUAGUGUAGUGGACGUGUUCUCAUUGUAGAAAGUGGUGGGUGUUUUGGCCAUUUUAGAGAAACUGGGGUGUUGACAAUUGAAACUCAUGGGGCGCUGAACAACAGUAAAAACCUGCUUUUCGGUUUGUUGCUUUUUCCAGGCAAGGAUGGAUACGUCCUUUUCCUUUUUGACCGAAACUCCAUUGAUAAAUUACAUCUAGUAUGCUUUUGAAGUGAUUUUGACAUUUUCUGGAAGAGGAAGGACUGCCUCUGUUGGCAAUUCUA